AUAAAGUAACAAGAGAACAACAAUGCCCACGUAUAUAGCGACAUUCAACGCUACAUUUACACUUAAUCAACAUGCUUUAUGGUAUUGGUUUCCUAAGAAAAUGAUAAACCAGCAACACAAAGAAUGCUACAGAGUACCAAACACAGUAUAAUUCAACACGUUCAAGCUUUAUAAUUUCCAAACGAAUGGCAAUCGUAAUUUCAUAAUGCAUUCACAUUAUGUAUGAUCUCUUAACAUCACCGAAAACUAUUUUAAUAGUGGUAGCAUUUGCUCCGGGUAUCAUGCAAAAUAUAUUCUUCACAUGUCACACAAGGUAGCACACUACAGUAGGACAGCCUGGCCAUGGGCGAUUUUUUUUGUUAAGCAAAUAACUCGUGUAUUAUGAUAUGCAUAAAAAUGAAAAAAUAAAUGUACACUAUAAUUGGUAUAUUCAGUAUGAAGUAGUACAUACAUGCUUCACAUUUGUUAAAACAAAAUUUAAUGAAUUGGUACCCGAUUUUAAAUUUCAGGAUUUUCCGAAAGCGCGUUUACAGAGGAAAUUUAGUUUUGCCUACAGCGAAAAUGGAAGUCCACAGUCAAGAAUUGGGCAUUCUUACUGUACACUGCUACCACAAUCAAAAUUGUCUCUGAAAGGUGUUUUAGACGACUCAAUCUGAGGCAGACGAAAGCGUCAACGAAUCUUCGUAUUUCACUGUGACUGGACAGCGCUUACAUGCAAUCAAACUUUCCAUACACAACAUUAUGUAUUUCAGUUUCUGUCUACGGGAAAUUUUGCGCUGUCAGGCGAGAAAUUGCCGGCCCUAUUUGAGCUAGGUUUACAACAGUAUUGCUGCAUGAACAUUCUACUGUACCUCUUUUAUUGAAACCAGGCUUUCAAAGAAUUUACAUGUCGUACUAUUGAUCGAGUUCUACGUAUUCAAAGUAUUUCAAUAUGUUCCAUUCCCGUUGUCCCUUGAACAUCACUGACAUUAAAACUAAAGUUAUUGAAUUGAAAAUGUAUCAAUUUUCAUUUUGGUAUACACCAUUCGAGAACUGACAUUCCAUUCACGAACAUUAAAUCCUGGAGCAAAACAUGCGAUUCAUAUCCGUUGAAUUGUCUCCCCUGCACACUCGAAUACCGUGCUUUAAGGGGGAAAAGGAAAGAAUUUCAAUGAUCAUUAGGUACUCAUCAAAAUUUCCAUACACAACAUUAUGUAUUUCAGCCGUCUACAGGAAAUUUUGCGCUAUCCGGCGUGAAAUUGCAGGCCCUUUAUGGGCUAGGUUUACAGCAGUAUUGCUGCAUGAAAAUCAUACUGUACCUGUUUUAUUGGAACCCGCCUUUAGUAUAUCAGAUGAUAUAUGUGGCAAUGCUAGCAUACUUACCUGGUACAGGGGCUACCGUGAUCAGGAACGGCGGUGCCCCCAGGUCGAGGCCUAACCAUUGCACUCCGGUCGGGCUGAACCCUGCGAUAAUCCCAAAUGCGGAUUACUCGGGUACGCUAUUUUUUAGUGUGGGGGUCUGCGUUCGCGCUAACCCCUGUU